rnacentral:rRNA from 1 species
GACAGAGGGUGCAAACGUUUGUUCGGAAUUACUGGGCGUAAAGCGCGUGUAGGCGGUCUCGCAAGUCGGGUGUGAAAGCCCAGGGCUCAACCCUGGAAGUGCAUUCGAUACUGCGAGGCUAGAGUCCCGGAGAGGAUGGUGGAACUCUCGGUGUAGAGGUGAAAUUCGUAGAUAUCGAGAAGAACACCGGUGGCGAAGGCGGCCAUCUGGACGGUGACUGACGCUGAGACGCGAAAGCGUGGGGAGCAAACAGG